rnacentral:pre_miRNA from 1 species
AACAACACACGGGCAUAAUUCAAGAUAUUCGAUAGGGUUUUUGGUAACUAAUGGAAUGUCGUGAAUUAUGGUCUUCAUUGUU